rnacentral:lncRNA from 1 species
CCAACCUGAGGAUUGUUGGAUGUGCCACGUUAAUUAAUGAGGUCAGAUCCAACACUCAAUAUUUUUUAUGAUUUUAUUUCUUUUUCUAUAUUUAUUUUUAAUUUCAUUUUCUUUUAAAAUUCAUAGAAAUAUCAUAUUACAUCCAAAAAAUCUCAAAAUAAUUUCUAAAAUACUCUUGUAUUUUCUUCAUCUGAUUUUAUUUUUUCACAUUCAUUUUAUUGAUUUUCUAUUUUUCAUGGAAUUUAUCUUUUUUCCUUUGUUUUAAUUGGUUUAAAAAAAC